GUCAGGAUGGCCGAGUGGUCUAAGGCACCAGACUCAAGUUCUGGUCUUCGAAUGGGUUCGAAUCCCACUUCUGACA